CGGACGGGUGAGUAAUGUCUGGGAAACUGCCCGAUGGAGGGGGAUAACUACUGGAAACGGUAGCUAAUACCGCAUAACGUCGCAAGACCAAAGAGGGGACCUUCGGGCCUCUUGCCAUCGGAUGUGCCCAGAUGGGAUUAGCUAGUAGGCGGGGUAACGGCUCACCUAGGCGACGAUCCCUAGCUGGUCUGAGAGGAUGACCAGCCACACUGGAACUGAGACACGGUCCAG
rnacentral:rRNA from 1 species